rnacentral:lncRNA from 1 species
AGAAAUACAUGAUCAGGUGGGAAAAAUAAUAAAAAAACUAUAUUUAACAACCCUGAUCUCCCUGCUGGUAAUAAUAUAAUCAGUCAUUUCAUUCAGUUUACACACCCUUGUUUCACAGUCCAAAGUCUUCUGUAGUAUAACUUUUAGGAAGAUUCCUCUUUUGUUAUAAAGGGCACUUGCUCAAAACACAGUUUGAAUUAAGGGUAUUGGUUUAUAAGAAGCUCUGUGAUAAAAUGUUGUGUUAUCUACAUGGCCAUGUUGUAAUAUGAAGGAUGGUACAUCAAGAAAGUAGUCACACCGUUGACAUGAUAACAGAGAAAAUAUUUAAUAUUAGUCUAUAUCAUAAUUUCAAUCUGUUUUCUUCUUUUUUAAAGCAUGAAAGAACCAUAGGAAAAGGUCCAGAAAACAAGUUUCAAAUCAAACAAGUUGAUCUAAGAACUUGAUGAGAAUUCCAUACAAACUUAAAUGAUAUGCAAACAAAGAUAAGGCAGGGUACAAUGAGUUGGUUAAAUAACUCUUUUGUACAUAAAUGAUCACAUAAAAUAGUAAAAGUGGAAUCAUCUCAAGGUUAACUUCAUUCAUACUACAGCAGGCUACUUAAAUUAACUGAACAGUCAUAAUUGCAUGGGGACUGAAUGAAAUAAAAGAUUUACUUCUUUACUAUCAUUCAUAGGUUUUCUUUGAUAGGUUUGCUCCCAAUAUAUAUAUGAAGACAAUUUUGAUUUACAAUUUUACAAUGAAAUUUUACAAUUUAAAAAUCCACCAUAUGCACACAUAUGAUGCAAUGACUUGUUUAAAACAGAUCAAUCUUUAGAAAUCACAGACAGCAAACAAAACAGGCAUUCCCAAAUUUCUUAACAGAUAAUAGUC